AUCAGAGAGGCAUACAGGAACCACAUCAUGUAGAAACUUAUUGGUAAUAGUAGUAAAUGCAUAUUUUAUUUUAUUUGUAAUGGAAUCCCAUUUAUAAUUUGGUAAGACUAAAACCAAAACCAGAUCAAACAUAACUUUUCAAUCCACAAAACACACAUAACUAUAUAUUAAUUUGAAUGCUUCAUUUGUGGUGUUACUAUCCUUUCCUGACAAAUUAACCAAAGUCAGCAUGCUAUAGGAUAGUAAUAUACAUUCUUCCCAGAAAUAUCACUAUUUGGUAAUAUUCCUGAGAAAAUACUCAUAAAUAUAUGCAGAGAUUUAGUAAUAUGCCAUUUUCAUUGUGUUGCUUUAUAAGAUAAUAUACUCAAGGCUUUUAAAUUACAUUAAAAUGCUUAAUCACAAAAGAAAACUUUAUAAUACUUUAUAUGCCAAAAUGAUUUAUCUAUUUUAAAACCUCAUUUAAAACACCAAUAUUUAGUUUUAGGAGAAUGCACACUCAUAUCCUGUUUUUAUUUUCAAACUGAUGUGUAUCGUAGAGUGCAAUUUGCUAUACAAAGAUAUAAAUAUAUGCAUACCUUUGGCAUCAAUAACUAUACUUCUGAGAAUUUGUCCUAAGGAAAUAAAGUUAUAGAUAUGUUUGAAGAAUAAAUAUGUUUCAAGGAUGUUCACUGAAGUAUUGCUUGUAAAAACAAAAACAAAAAAUACUUAAACAUCCAUUAUUGUAUUUUAGAAAAUCAGCUGUGUAUAUCCUCCAAGUGGAAUUCUAUAUAGCCAUAAAUCAUGAUGGUGCAGAAAUAGACCUAUUGACAUGGAAAGAUGAUUAUAACCUAUUGUUAUUCUUUAAAAGUAGGUUAUAAGAUAUCCUAUAAAAUAGAUAAUCUAUUUUGCAAAAAACUGUGUAAUUGUUAUAUACUAGGAUUUUGAAAGAUUAUACCAGAAGAUAUAAACAAUGGUUACUUCUGGGUUGCUGAGAAUUUGCAUGUAUUACAUACUUUCUUAUUUUAUUUUCUGGGUUUUUUGCAAUAAACAUUUAUUUCUCUUAUAACAAGAAUCAUUUUUAAGAAAACAAUUUCAUAGCACAUUAAUAAACACUGUAUAUAAGAACAGUUUUAUAAUAACAACUAUGCAUAUAUGGGUGUGUUUGCUAUACAUUUGUGGUUUUAAGCACACAUAUAACACAAGUAUACACCAUAUAUGUGUGUGUGUGUGUGUGUAUGGUAUUGGGCCAUGUUUGUGUGUGUAUGUAUAAUGUACAUAUAUACUAUAUACUAUACAUACAUGUGUACAGUGUAUAUAUAUAUACACACACACACACACACACACACACCAUACAUACACACAAACCAAUAUAUGAAUGCAUCCCCCAAAAUUGUGGUGAUUAACAUUUAAAAAAAUUUUCUUUUGUGUUUGUGUUUUUCUGUAUCUUAAAAAUUUACUAUAACAGUCAAAUAUUGCUUUCACAAUAAAAAUUUUAUUAAAUAAUAUUAAUAGGUUUUAUCCCUCCCUACUCUCAUUUUCCGUUAUAAUUUUCCCUGAAGAUACUUUACACAAUGUAGGAUUGUAUUCUCCACAAGGCAUGACCCUCUCAUUUUGACUCUCCAAUCUGCAGGAUAUUAAUUUGAAUAGAGACAGUCUAUUUAGCUUGAAAAGAUAUUCUAGGGCUCUCUUACCAUACUGUAAUCACCAUUUUGGCAAUCUUAUAUUACAAUAAAAUUCUCACAAUUCAUUACUUUGUUAAACUCUAAGUGGAGCAUAGAAAGCAAUAAAUCCCCCAAACAAAUCUGUCAAACUUUAAGCUCUAUGUCGAAAUGUAUUCAUUGAGAACCUAUCAUAUGAUGAGACCUGUGAAAUAUGCAUAAGCUCUGCCUUCAAAGACUUAGCGCUCCAACUUGAAAAACAGUUAAAGAACAGUUAAAGACAUCAUUGUUUGUUAGAAUACUUUUUAACUACUCAACAUCUGAACCUUGUCCUAUUUGGGAAGAAAUUCCUCUUUUAUUUGUGAGCCUGGGUGGAAGGCCAGGAGAUUUCCCUAUCCUCUGACAGCCAUGGUUUGAGAGUGUGACAGAGAGCGGUUGCAUAUUUCCACCCAGAACUUUAACAUUGAACAACUGAUGCAACAACAACAAUAACAAACACCAAAAAGAGAGGGAGACAGAGGUUGAGAAUUCAUGAAUGAUGAAAGCGUGCAAUGAGCAGGUACAACAGUACUCAUCACCAACACCUCAAAAACCCAUCCAAGAGACAGCAAGCUCUGCUCCAUCAUGAAAUAAGAAUGCUAUGGCUACUUAUCGAUGCGCUGUUCCUCAGAUGGAGCUAAAAUCUGUGUCUAUAUAAUUUCCACUCACUGGUUCUAUUCUGCCCUCUCCAGAAACAGAGCUUUAGUUUCCAUGUCAGAGUAUAUUCAUUUUAGGCAAGUGCUUUCUGACUAGUGUAAGGAUCAAUUCCUUAGUAUUCUAAACACGUAUUGAAGGUUUAAUAUAAUGUUUGGUACUUUACAUGCAGUAUUACAUUUACCGGUCCCAAGAAACCCAUGAAGCUGAUAUAUUUAUUCUUGGUUUGUCCAGGAAAAUAAGUUAAGAUUGAUUAUUAAGUGCCAAACCAAGCUGGCAACUGAUUGAAAUGAGACUUGAACCUAGGAAGUAUGACUUCAAAGUUUAGGCCCUUGACAACUACAUAAUAUCUGCCCUUCUUCCUUGUAUAGUUGGGAUUAUCCAUGGGUGUCAAUAUGAGAAGCAGGUUAAGGAGGCUUUGGAUUUCUGUCAUAGAGGGCAGAGGAAGAAUUUCCAUUCAUAGAAGAACAAAAUGUGUGGGGUAAAGGCCAUGAUGGGUUUGUGGGUCAGGGAGGCAGAAGGUUUCUAUCACAAAAUAAGACUGGCUUUGUGCAUGAAAUCAGAGCAUGGAGACCUGUGAAAAUCGGUCAGGAGUUUAAGCUGAAAGUGGUUGUCUUAAUAGAAUAACAGAAAAUGUCUAAGCUGCCAACUGGUAUAAAAAUGCUAUUUUAUUUAAUUGACUAAGAUAUCAUUGAGCUCAAAAUAUGCAAAAUGUGUCAUUGUAAAGUGCUUCAUUACCAUGACUUUGUCAACUGUAAAAGAAGAGCGAAUGGCAUAGGACUGUCAUUUUGAUUAUCAGUGGUAGACACCGAAGUUCAUAUCAUUCCCUGUUCAUAGGUAAAGGCAAAUGAACUGAUGUUUUCUGCAGUCAUGGAGCACAGAGAUCUAACAAAUCCUUGUACCUCACAUACCCAAUAACCUCUUCCCACAACAGUCAUUUUUAAAAGGCUGGCUGCAUGCCUUUAGUAGGCCUUCGAGCUUUGUUCUAAUUGCAUUAUAGUUAAUUGACUAUUCCAGAGAAUGCUUAAUUCAUGGUCAUCAUCAUCAAUAUUUAUUGAAGUUUUCCCUCUGGACUUUCAAGGUUAUAAUGAUGUACUCUCCUAGAACAUAAAAGAAACAAAAUUCAUUUUAUUUUUUCCUUGCAUCUUACACACAAUUAUAGCUAAAUUCCCUCUACUACUGCCAAUAUUAUAACCCUUUUAGACAUAGAACAUAGGACAUAGGACAUAGACAUAGGAAAACUAUAUUUAGUGGAAAAAAAAAAACACGUCCUCAUCGUGUUAUGAGAGAGAGAGUGCUUUGGCAAAAAUCCCGCCACCGCAAGAGUUCUCCUUUUGCUGGACUAUAUUCCAACUGGGCUCAAAGCCUACUGGGCAAACAGAACCGUGUAGAAAAUGUCUAGGACUUUGAAAUAAUCCAAGUCUAUAUUCCAAAAUGCAGAGAUAAUUUGUUUUAUCUAUGAAUUUCUCUAAAGAAGUUUAUAGGUGCUCUGAAGAGACCGCAUAGACCUCUCUAGAGGUCACCAAAUUAUUCUUAAAAAUAAGAAGAAUACACCGGUGUUUAUAUACUUACAAAUAAGGACUGUAAGUCUGAAGUUAAGAUUGAUAAAUUAAUUUGCCAAACAUACUGGCAACUGUUAACAAUCUGUUGUGUGUUUAAUCAUCUUCAAGGAAAAGGGUCCACACAAAGGCUGUAAACUUCUCAAAUGACUAACAGGAAAGGGUCAGUAAUGAAAAUGAGUGGAGUGGGCUGACUAACUAUAGCAAGCCCACUGAUAAAGACAGCCAUACACAGCAUCAGCUGAUUGUCAUGUGGGAAAGCAACCCAGAUUUUCCCUUUUAAAGUUUAACAACUAAUUACUUUUUUUUUUUUUAAUAUUAUGAGACAAUAUAAAUGUAUACGUAACUCUAAAAUCAGCCUGGGCUGCCAGUUAAAACCAAUAAUCUAUAGAUAAUAUAAAAUCAGAUCUAGCAUUUAUUUUCAAAUCUUUCUCAAAUAGAAGUCACACUUGACAUUUUCUCUUUAUAUUGGAAAUCGGUCUUCACUUGCUAAUACAAAGGAAAACUUCUUUCACCUACUCUGGAGCCUUCUCUCAAAGCUACUGGCUAAGUGGAUACCAACCAGUCUAUCAGCCAUAGAAAUAUGUGACUGAGGAGGAAUCUUAAAGCAGAAUAUCAAGAAGGCAAUAUAGAAUGAUAGAAAAAAAAAUGUAAGUUUUGAGUCAGGUAGAUCUGUGUUUAAUUCCCAGACUUAAACGAAGUUCCUAUGUUAUCUCUCUGAUAACAUAUUAUAUUAUCAUUCAUAGUUUGAGCCUGGUACCACCUAUGAGGAUGAAGUGAAGAAAAACAUAGGUAAAAUCCCUAGUAAAAGCAUAAUUUAUAGACCUUUCUGAAAAACUAUGUUCCUCCACUACUAGGAAUGCUAAGUGUCAAUCUUAGAAAUGGAGACAGGCUGCCUUUAGCCUUCCUAUAAGGUGCCCAUAUUAGUUGGGAUUGUGUUUGACUAUGAAUUGUUUUUAAAAUAACAAAAUAACGUUACUUAGAGAGGACAAGUAUAAAGGAGGCAAUUUGGGAUGAUUAUGGCAGCUCCAUUCCAUGAUCUCUUCAGGGACCUAGUUCUUUCCAGCUACCAUUCUGUCAUAGCUGGACCCCACAGUGCAAGAUGGUAGCAUCUGCAUUCCAGGUAGCAGGAUGGAGAAGAAGCCAAAGAGAGGAAGGGCCACGGUGUACAUUAGCUGUCUUAAGGAAGUUUCCCAAAAGCUGUCAUGGGAUAGUUGUCUUCUAUCAUAUUGGUCGUAACUUAAGACACAUGGCAUCAUAUUGCUGCAAGGGAGACGGGGCUACGUAGUGGGACUGGGAUUCUGAGUGGUCAUAAGAUAGACUAAAAUUUCUGUUAAAAUGGAGAAAGGGAAGGUGGAUUAUUGGGAGACAACUUACAGUUGAAACCAAGGGCUAACCUGAUUAGGUCUGCCAAGCUUAACCUGCCUUGCUUGUUUUUAGCUACUUGCCUUUAGUUGAUUUUAAAAUCUAUGUAGCUAAAGGUCAUGUGGCUAAGCAAUAUAUAACUGAACUUGCACUAGCUUCCUCACAGAUAACAUCUCUGACAUAUAGGUCACCAUGGUGAUGGUUACUGAAGUUGUUUUUCAGGAACUUAGAGUCAGCUCUAGUCCAGUUCAAGCCAUUUGCGACCACUGACCCUGCUUGAGUGUUCGAUAGGUACACUUUUGAUGUUCUACCUACAGAUCAUGCUAACACCACCACCAUGUGAACAUGCAUCCUAUGAAGAGCCAUGAAGCUUGGCUAUGCUUGCAUAGUUCACUGAUAACCUCACUCUUCUUUACUGCCAAUGACUUUUCCUCAUACUUCAGACUACCUCACUCCUCUGUCUCAUAAAUAUCCUUAAAAUCCCAUCUUUAGGGAAGCAGAUUUGAGACCUGUUCUCCCACCUCCUUGCUUGACUGCCUCAUGAAUAAACUCUUUCUCCGCUGUAAAACUUACCAUCUCAGGGAUUGGCAUUCCAUACGACAGGCAGAAUGGACAUGGUUUGGCAUCACAGUCUGUGUCUCAGAGGCCUUUUUAUCUAAGGACAGCAGGGGGGGUAACUUGACAUGUGUCCAUUCUUAUCCUACUGAUUGUCCCCACUAAAAACUAAAACAGCUGCUUGCUCUGCCCUUCUGUUCUACCUUCAUUAACUCUUUGCAGGGAUAAAACUGGAGAGGCUCACUGGGGAUAGGUGCCCAGGUUUAAAUGCUUUCUAAUUUUCAUUGUCCACCUUUUGCUGUUUCUGUGGGUGCCUGGUUACUUCCAGCAGCAAAUUAAGAUAUAUAAUCAAUGGAAAAAAGACUUUUGGUUUUCUUUUAAAAAUUAAUUUCUGAAACAGCAUUGCUAGUUUCCUCAGUUUUAAUGUGCUCUAAAAUUGUCAGUGUUAAGUGGAAAGGAAAUAGAGACAAGCCCUUCUCAGUAGAAGGAGUACUGAAUGUUUUUCUUCACAUAAUUAACUAUUACUUCUCAAUAACAGACUUUUAGGUUUAGAAGCAAAGUAUCUGACACACAAUAGGACGUUAAUACAUGUGUGAAGACUGAAUGGAAAGAGGGAAAGAGAGAAGGGAAGAAAAGGAAAAAAGAGGGGAGGAAAAAAGGACAGAUGACAAACAGAAAAGAGGGCAGAAAACAAGGUCUCUCACCACAUAAUUAACUCAUCACCAACAACUCGAAAACCCAUCCAAGAGACAGCAAGCUCUGCUCCAUCAUGAAAUAAGAAUGCUAUGGCUACUUAUCGAUGCGCUGUGCCUCAGAUGGAGCUAAAAUCUGUGUCUAUAUAAUUUCCACUCACUGGUUCUAUUCUGCCCUCUCCAGAAACAGAGCUUUAGUUUCCAUGUCAGAGUAUAUUCAUUUUAGGCAAGUGCUUUCUGACUAGUGUAAGGAUCAAUUCCUUAGUAUGAAUCUGGUGUUUAAGUCGCAGUAUUGUUUGUGCAUUUUACAAACACAGACAAUAAUGUAUACACAAGUUGCUAAAUUAGGUUCAAAGAAUGAAAAUGGGUCAUAGGAAAGCUCCCCACCUCCUCAGAACUCUCUGUCACAUUCAGAAAUCAAGAAAGAAGGAAAGAAGGAAGGAAGGAAGGAAGGAAGGAAGGAAGGAAGGAAGGAAGGAAGGAAGGAAGGAAGGAAGGAAAGAAAGAAAGAAAGAAAAAGAAAGAAAGAAAGAAAGAGAAAGAGAAAGAAAGAUGUUAGCAUCUGCAAAGAUCCAAAAAAGAAAGCAAAUAAAAAUAACUCGACUUUGGUUAAGGGGCUGAUAAAGUUAAGAUACUUCACUGAAACAUGUAUGUCCAUGUUUAGAUCUUAAUCACUGCUCUCCAAACCUCUCAUGACUGCAGAAUUAGGUCAGAGAUUUCCAUCAUGCAGUCUUCAGUAUGCACUCCAAUUGUCCGUGCAGGAUUAAAAAAAAAAUGUAUUUGGAGAAACUAGUCCAGGAAGAGAUAUGAGUGUAACAGACACUAAGGCAUUUGUUUUAACAACAACAACAACAAAAAGCAGACAUUGUGAAACUAUGCUUCAUUUAUGCACAGACUGCUAAGAGUAAAUCACACUGAAAGUGAGCAAUAUACUGUGAUAACCAGAGCUUUACUGCUUUGUCAUGGUGAGAUAUUAAAACAGAGUUGCUAUAAUACAUUUUGACAAAUCAGCUAAGGCUGUAGCUAAUUUGAAGGUACCAUAUACUUUUCUAAUUUAGAUAAUCAAAGUGGACCCAAAAAAUAAUAAACUGAGUUUUAAAAUCUCUUACCUAUAAUAUUUAGAAUUUAUACAAUUAUUUUAUUAUUUUUUCCAGAUUUGCUAAAUAUGCAUUCCUUUUAGGAAGUACUCUCCAUGCACGUGAAUUUUCAUUGUAAAUAAACUUUGUAGGGCAACAUAUUUUCUUGAUGUAAAUUGACUGUGGGAAAAGUAAAUAAUGUGUGCCUACCACCUCAAUCAGAAAAAACAAAAUCAUAACCAAUGAUUUUUAUAUAGACAAACUUCAAGCCAUCAAAAGAAACCAUUAUGUGUCUGCUGCUAAAUUCAAGGUUUACAAGGAAGCAAAAUUUUGCCUCUUCUCACUUUUAAUGUCUUAGGAAAACAGCUCUCUACAAGUUUGGGUGGAGAUAGCUGUCUUCCACUCAUUUUUUCCAAAGGAUAUGCAAAACCUGAAUAUUAUGAAAAAUAACAGAUUAACACAUGAUACUCUAACUUUAAAGAUGCUAUCAUAUAUUUGAAUUUACAGAGAGUCAUCAGAAAGGAAUUUCCUCUUUCUCCCAAUAUACACCUACUUCUUUUUCUAUUAAUCUGUACUUUUGACAACUACCUGUCUGUAUGCAAUACAUAAACACACACACGGUCAUCCACAACAGUUGUAAACACACAUGCAUAUAUAGUCAUGCAAUUGAAGUUUUUUUCUCAGCGAUCCAUACACAAAGUAAAGUAGUAAAUACACUGUAAACAUAAUCAUUCUUCUCUUUUUCAUGAUUGUAACUGGCUCUAACUUUCCAAAUUCCAUAUUUAAAAAUUGUUAAAUAUAAGUAGAAUAAACCCAGAAUAUGAUCCUCAUUUCAAAGUGGAGGGCUUAAUAGGAUGACCCAAUGUAUUUAUUACAGUCACUAUUGCUUGAGAAAUGUACUUUUAAAAUAAAAUCCAUGGCAAGAAAAAUGGUAGAUCUUUGUGUUAUAGUUAAUUAUAGAAAUUAUUUUUCCAGCACAACUGUUCACAUUCACCAAUUUAAUCUGCUUUGAGAUGCCCUUGAGAAAUUCAGAUUGAUUCAGUCUCAUAAAAUUUUAGGGUAAUAUAUCAUUGGUUGUUCUGUUUUGAUUUUGCUCAGUUGGCAUGCAGUAAAGCAUUGAUUUCAACUUACUUGUGAAUAAAAUUAAAAAGUCGGUUAGGCAUCACUUUGUUUUGAUUUGAACUAUGCUGCUACCUGGUUUUAAUUGUUCAACUACCUUUCUGUUCAGUAGUGAUGUGUGUAUUUGUGGCUCCUGUCCAUUCAGUAGAUCCCUCUGAAGGACCCUCUUUUAUUGACAGCACAUUUUGCUCUAUGAAACAUACUCUAUUUCUGUGCCAAAAGAUCUAUUUGAAACAGAGCCAGUGUCUCAUUCCAGGAAGAGGAAAGGAUAUCAAGAGUUUCCAUGGCAAUCAGUUGACGGAACUAAAUUAAGCAGGAAACCUCUUCAGAAUGCAAAGUAGUCUUGCAAAACAAAGUGGUUUGAAAUAUUCAGGAAGUGUGUCACAGCACAACGAAAGAAAUGGAGAUAUGAAUACCUCCAUAAUGUAAACUCCCUAACUGUAAAAUAAACAAUUAAAUGCUAGCUUUUGUCCUACAAAAAUAAACCCUCAAACAACUGUCAUUUCUAAUCAAAUCUUUUGUUCCAGUUAGUUUUGGUUUUUUUUAGUUCUUAUCUCUUAUGAUCAACAUCAUGUAAGAAUAUAACUACAAUUGUUUAUGUAGGUAGGAAAAAUAACUUUUUUAUGUUACUGCUGUUAAAUUUAUUUUGUAUGAAAUUGUGCAAAUUUCAUAGCUAGUUCUUUAACAGUGAAAUCAGAAGGAAUGACCAAAAUUUAUUUUAGUGAAAAAAAAAAUGAAGAAACAGAUUCCUUAGUUUAGAGAAAGGAAUUGCUUUUAAAAAUGGGAUUCUUCAUGGUAAUUUGGAUUAUUGAUAGUUUUAAAAAUAUCAUUCUACUUCCUGGAGUGGAAUUAGAAGGAAUGAGUCUUGAAAUUCCAGGAAAUAGAAGAAUUAGAAUGAACCAGAGGUUUCUUAUCUUCUGGUCAAUUGCCAAAUCGUUAUAAUAGUUUGCUUGGAAAUACGGCUUCAACCUGUAUCAGUAACUAUUACCAGAAGUCCUUCAGACCACCUAAAUGCUUUCCAAAUGCUUUCCUCUUCUCUUUAAGGAAAGAGUUCUUGGAGCAAACGUUUCUAAAGCACACGGAUUCACAAUAAAAAAUAUUUAAACAAUUCCUAAAACCUAUUAACCACUCGUUAUCCCAGCUUUUUAAGUUAAAUCACUGUAUUUGUUUGAAGUAAAAUUAUAGGGUCUCCUUUGAAGAUGAACACAUAAGAAUAUACAUCUUAGAAGAGGAAGGUCUUAUGAAUUUUAAUCUCAAAUAUUCUGGCCUCAAUUUCAACGUGAACUUUAAAGUGUGAUCUAAAUGCUUACUGUGUGUAAUAUAAACAUUAAGAGGCACAUUUUGAUGUCACCUGCGUGAUAAAACUUUCCUGGCUUCAUUGUGCUAAACUUUUCUCAAAUUUUCUGGACCAGAAACAUAGUCCAAACAUAGCACAUCAUCAUAUCACACAGACAAACACACACACACACACUCACACACUACCAUACACACAGCAAGAACACAGUACAGCACCAGCAUACAGUAAGUGCCAUAGGUGUGCCCACCUUGGAAUGUUGUUGAAAAUUAGAUUCUCCUGGUCAAUAGCCAUCAAGUCCUAUAACUGCCACAUCUUUCCAAGAUAUUUUCCCCAAUUCCAUUACACUCCCCAAAAUACUAGUCUCACUAGAGACAAAACAUGACAAGAACUCUUUACACAAUCUCUUAAAAUCUACUUUAUUUCACAUUGCAUGCCUGUUAUCAAAACAUCUCAGGUACCCCAUAAAUAUAUAUACCUACUAUGUGCCCAAAAAUUUUUUUAAAAAAUCUAUUUUAACUUGGAUAAGUUAAGUAUAUUUCUGUAUAUUAGGUAGAAAAAAUCAGGUGGUUUUCUUAGUUUGGGUUAGCAGACUCUGAGACAAUAAUCCAAAUGCAAAUGGUUUAUCUAGGCAGUGAUCCCAGGAAGAACAGUGAAAGAAUAAGGAAGUAAAACAAAGAAGGAAGGAAGUGAAUAUAGCUAAUAUUUAUAUUGUUAAUCAGCAAAUUACCACUAUGGGAAUGUAGGCUCAGUCUCACUGAGAUUCUCUAAGAAGCUGUACAGAACAUUCUUCAGUACUGUACCAGCAAUGGCAAGAAAGCUGGAGUGUUUAUCCACCAGAUCUCAUCCCUCACUGGUGAGGGUCACUCCUAAGAUUCUGAUUUUCCCAGAUUCCUGGUCUGCACUUCUUGGACCUACCACAUUUCCAUGGUCAGAGAAUGCUCUCCAACAGAGACGCAGGAAGCUUUAUUUAUUCUUAAAAGUUGAGCGGCUCAGGCUCAUAAAUACUAAUGAUCCAAGUAUUUUCUGGUGUUAGCUAGCCAUAGUGUGAUAUCUAGGAAUGUCUAGCCAAGCUGACCAAGCCUCCCUCUAGCAAUACUCCAUUAUGAGUACCAUUUUUUACCUGGUUGCUAGGGACAACCAAAUUUUGCCUAUAAUGAUGAAUAGAGGUCCUCCUGACCCAAAUAUCUGAGUGUAUUUGAAAGGAGUUCUUUAAUUUAGAGUCAUAUAUAAAGGCAACAAAAAGCAGGAGUUGCAAUAUAGAUUGAGAGCUGGAUAAUUUUUCUUGUAUUUUUUAUGUAGAUACAAAUAUGUAUACAAAAAAUUAAGAUUAGUGGAGUCAUGAUAUUAACUUUUAAACUCUUCACAGAGAAGUAGAGAAACUGGUUUGACUGAGAGAAUUCUCUCACUCUGGUUGUUUCUGAUGUUUCUUGGUUCUUGCUUUCUAAUUCUGUCUUCUCCUAAACUGGUACGUUCUAUGAUGUUUAUGUUCCCUCAUGGGACCACAUCAGAAUGAUCACUUCCUUGAUGCAAGGCUCUUAAUUAUGACUCCAGAGAAAUCCAGAAAAAUCUGUUCCCAUCGGUUACUGCUGAAAAAAAGUACAAGAUCUUGCUCAGCAGCAUUCCUAAAGAGAUUGCUUUCUUUUGCUCACAUUUUUUCAAAAUGCCUGCUGUCUGUUUUACCUUAAAAAUAGUAAUUCUUAAUUCAUAUAGCAUUGCAAUUCACAACUCUGUUUUUCCAAAAUACCCCAAGAUGUAUCAGUGAGAAAAAUUAUUUCCCAUUUUGGCAUUCUCUGGGAAAGGGAAAUUUCUAACAUUUUACUUCCAUGUGCAAAAGUCUUCAAAUUCUGGCAUAUUUCCCAUGAAUCUUUAAUCUGAUCUACCUAACAAUGCCCUUUGAGUUGAUUGCCCUUUGAGUUGAGGUUUUAUGGUUUCACAACUUCAAUCUCACUGAUAUAUAGGUUAGGCUAGCAUCAAAGAAAAUAGGUUAAAGAAAUAGUUUCACUUAUUUUGGCCCACCUAAAACCAGGACUUGAACUUUACCAAAAACUAAAUAUCUAAGCAUAGCACGUUAGAAAGCAGCAUAUAGUACAAGAACAGUAGGGAGGGCACAAAGCUCAGGUCUGUGGCUUAAUAGUGACUGACCACAGGCACACUGGUAACUUCUCUUAACCGUCCUGCCUCAUCUGACAAGCAGGGUAAAUGUCAUCUAUGUUACAAAGUGGGUGGUGGUUCUAAAUUAGAGAGCCUAGACAAAGUGUCCCCGACUGCUGCAUAUUAUAGGCUCUCAGAAAACAUUAACUGCCUUUCUCUUUCCUCCAAAGUUUCAGUUGAGAAAAGUAUAAGCUCAAGGAAUAGAAGAUAAAUGUUCAGUAGAAUAGGAAUGGAAUCUAAUGCUUUUUCAUGCUGUGGUAAAUCACUGAAAAUGUGUCUUCAUGUCACAUUCUGUUUGGAGAGCAGUGUCUAUUUCCCUUUCUAAAUAUCAUUCAUCAGUGCAUCCUUUCUUGUAUCCAAAUAAAUGAAUCUUAAAUCUCUCUUUAAAUAGUUAUAAGGCAUGUGACUGACACAAACCAUAAAUCUAGAUAAAGAUUUGAAGGAUAUACUAACCAGGCUUGAGAUUACUAGAAGAGAGAAUAAAGAAAAUUGCAAAUGAACUGCUCUGAAAUAAAAUGACUACCAUGCAUUGCAAUUAGAAAAUCUAGGGGAAAACGACAAGUUGAGCUUCGUCUUCUUACCAGAAACUGUGUUGCUCUCUUUCCAUGUUUCCACUACCACUUUUGCCACAUGUGGUGAGAAACAUGAAAUAGCACAUGUUAGAAAAGUGAAUACUGUCAGGUGGAAAGCGUGCCUCACUCUUUUCUGGGAAUUACAUUCCGGGGUUUGAAUGGCUGAUUACCUUUAUGCAUGAACAAUUCAAUCAACUCAUCUCUGUACUGCUUAGCCCAGCUGGGUCUUGGCAAUAAUUCAAUUUGGGAAGGUUCUUCCAGAAAACCAUGCUAAUAUGUUUAGUUUUUAGAAGAAAAAAUAAUACACUGUAGAGAAUUGAUUUGGGGGUUGGCAAUGUAGUUGUAGGGAAAGGGAUUCAAGUGAGGACUAUCAUUUUUUUUCCCUCAUGUCAGGCAAAGGAUUGGAGAGAUUAAGGAACUUGAUUCAAGUCACGAAGCUACUAAGAGGCAAAACCAUGGUUUUAGUGAGACCCGUCUGGUUUCAAGAAGAGUAGUUUAAGUGUAUUCAGAGCCCAUUAUGUACCAGUCACUAUGUUCAGAAGUUUAUAUCUAGACCCCUCACAACAGGAGUAAACCAGAAUCAACCUACUACACUAAGAGCAGAAAGCCACACUCUUCUCUUGGAGACAAGGUCUCAGGAAAGGAGUGGGUAAAACACUUAUCUCCAGAAAGCCAGCAAGAGGGAAGAAGGAAGAAAACCCCAUCCUGCAUGGUAUGAUGCUGAGAUUCCUCACAUAUCUUCAAAGCAUCCUAAGAAACCACGGGAAGAAAUGAAAGGAUUCUCCAUCAGCCAGAUGGUGUGAGCGAGAAGUCAAGUGAAGACAAACCUUCGAUUCUCC